rnacentral:tRNA from 1 species
GGCACGUUCGGCAAGCGGUUGAAGCCACAGCCCUCUCAAGGCUGCAUUCACGGGUUCAAAUCCCGUACGUGCUG